AGACCCGAAACCCGGUGAUCUAGCCAUGGGCAGGUUGAAGGUUGGGUAACACUAACUGGAGGACCGAACCGACUAAUGUUGAAAAAUUAGCGGAUGACCUGUGGCUGGGGGUGAAAGGCCAAUCAAACCGGGAGAUAGCUGGUUCUCCCCGAAAGCUAUUUAGGUAGCGCCUCGUGAAUUCAUCUCCGGGGGUAGAGCACUGUUUCGGCUAGGGGGCCAUCCCGGCUUACCAACCCGAUGCAAACUGCGAAUACCGGAGAAUGUUAUCACGGGAGACACACGGCGGGUGCUAACGUCCGUCGUGAAGAGGGAAACAACCCAGACCGCCAGCUAAGGUCCCAAAGUCAUGGUUAAGUGGGAAACGAUGUGGGAAGGCCCAGACAGCCAGGAUGUUGGCUUAGAAGCAGCCAUCAUUUAAAGAAAGCGUAAUAGCUCACUGGUCGAGUCGGCCUGCGCGGAAGAUGUAACGGGGCUAAACCAUGCACCGAAGCUGCGGCAGCGACACUAUGUGUUGUUGGGUAGGGG
rnacentral:rRNA from 1 species